ACAUCUUCAACCACAAGUGGGAAGCAGAGAGAAUAUCCCCAAAAUGGAAUUUUGAACAUUUAUCUAAUGCCUUAGUAAUAAAUCCAUUUCCUCCAUGAAAAAGAUGGUCUUUAUUCAUUUAUGCAUGGACAGUGAAGUUCUUCUCUUCUUGAUGCAAAAUAUUGUCAUCUUCGGAUAAUUUUCCAAAUAUAAGUGAACCAGGACACCAGCUGAGAGCCAGUGUCUUCUGUAACUUACAAGCAAGAUACAUCUGUGAAGCCUCAGCAAUAGAGAUGAGUAAGCAUAACCUUGCACAAUAACAGCACCAGUUGACCUGCCACUGUGGAAGGGCUGUAUCAGGGGAGGCUCUGAGAGCAGGAAGAUAGGUGUUCAUGUCAUGGAAGGGCAGGAUCUGAAACCCAGCAUGCCCAGUAAGAGGCUUGGCUCUCUUCCAAAGCACAAGUAAAGAAGUGAGGUCUCUGAGGAAAUACAAGAGGCAAGAGGCAGGUGACAGAUCUGCAAGAAAAUCCCUAGGAAAAAAAAAUAGAACUGACUUUGUAAUCACAACAGGUAAGC
ensembl:lincRNA 4930513D17Rik RIKEN cDNA 4930513D17 gene